rnacentral:rRNA from 1 species
CCAGCGAAUUCGGUAGAGAUACCUUAGUGCCUUCGGGAAUGCUGAGACAGGUGCUGCAUGGCUGUCGUCAGCUCGUGUUGUGAAAUGUUGGGUUAAGUCCCGCAACGAGCGCAACCCUUAUCCUUUGUUGCCAGCGGUCCGGCCGGGAACUCAAAGGAGACUGCCAGUGAUAAACUGGAGGAAGGUGGGGAUGACGUCAAGUCAUCAUGGCCCUUACGAGUAGGGCUACACACGUGCUACAAUGGCGCAUACAAAGAGAAGCGACCUCGCGAGAGCAAGCGGACCUCAUAAAGUGCGUCGUAGUCCGGAUUGGAGUCUGCAACUCGACUCCAUGAAGUCGGAAUCGCUAGUAAUCGUAGAUCAGAAUGCUACGGUGAAUACGUUCCCGGGCCUUGUACACACCGCCCGUCACACCAUGGGAGUGGGUUGCAAAAGAAGUAGGUAGCUUAACCUUCGGGAGGGACGCUUACCACUUUGUGAUUCAUGACUGGGGUGAAGUCGUAACAAGGUAAGCGUAGAUGA